ensembl:misc_RNA Metazoa_SRP Metazoan signal recognition particle RNA
GCUGGGCGUGGUGGCUCACGCCUGUAAUCCCAGCACUUUGGGAGGCUGAGGUGGGUGGAUCACCUGAGGUCAGGAGUUCGAGACCAGCCUGGCCAACAUGAUGAAACCCCAUCUCUA